AUGUAAGAUGUGUAUGUGCUGUAAAUAUGGACAAACAUUAGCAUGUAGGCUUUAGGUGGGAUUGCAUUAGAUUUGCAUUCUCAUAAAGGACCUACAAACAUGG